GACGAACGCUUGCGGCGUGCCUCAAACAUGCAAGUCGAGCGAGGCUAUGAAUUACCGCAAGGUAAGGCAUAGCCUAGCGGCGAACGGGUGAGUAACACGUGGGUAACCUACCUGGAAGACAGGGAUAACGAUUCGAAAGGGUCGCUAAUACCUGAUAAUAUCCAUCUGCCGGAUGGCGGAGGGAAGAAAGGGGAAACCCGCUUUCAGAUGGGCCCGCGUCCCAUCAGCUAGUUGGUGAGGUGAAGGCUCACCAAGGCGACGACGGGUAGCCGGCCUGAGAGGGUGACCGGCCACACUGGGACUGAGACACGGCCCAGACUCCUACGGGGGCAGCAGUGGGGAAUCUUGCACAAUGGGCGAAAGCCUGAUGCAGCGACGCCGCGUGAGCGAAGAAGGCCUUCGGGUGUAAACCUCUGUCCUUGGUGAAGAACAAAUGACGUAGCCGAGGAGGAAGCCACGGCUAACUACGUG
rnacentral:rRNA from 1 species